rnacentral:rRNA from 1 species
GACGAACGCUGGCGGCGUGCUUAACACAUGCAAGUCGAACGGAAAGGCCCUGCUUUUGUGGGGUGCUCGUGUGGCGAACGGGUGAGUAACACGUGAGUAACCUGCCCUUGACUUUGGGAUAACUUCAGGAAACUGGGGCUAAUACCGGAUAUGAGCUCCUGCUGCAUGGUGGGGGUUGGAAAGUGUCGGCGGUUGGGGAUGGACUCGCGGCUUAUCAGCUUGUUGGUGGGGUAGUGGCUUACCAAGGCUUUGACGGGUAGCCGGCCUGAGAGGGUGACCGGCCACAUUGGGACUGAGAUACGGCCCAGACUCCUACGGGAGGCAGCAGUGGGGAAUAUUGCACAAUGGGCGGAAGCCUGAUGCAGCAACGCCGCGUGCGGGAUGACGGCCUUCGGGUUGUAAACCGCUUUCGCCUGUGACGAAGCGUGAGUGACGGUAAUGGGUAAAGAAGCACCGGCUAACUACGUG